rnacentral:tRNA from 1 species
GCGCCAGUAGCUCAGUUGGAUAGAGCGCCGGACUACGAAUCCGUAGGUCGGGGGUUCGAAUCCCUCCUGGCGUACCA